rnacentral:rRNA from 1 species
UACGUAGGGUGCGAGCGUUGUCCGGAAUUACUGGGCGUAAAGAGCUCGUAGGUGGUUUGUCGCGUUGUUCGUGAAAACUCACAGCUUAACUGUGGGCGUGCGGGCGAUACGGGCAGACUGGAGUACUGCAGGGGAGACUGGAAUUCCCGGUGUAGCGGUGGAAUGCGCAGAUAUCAGGAGGAACACCGAUGGCGAAGGCAGAUCUCUGGGCCGUAACUGACGCUGAGGAGCGAAAGCAUGGGGAGCGAACAGG